rnacentral:lncRNA from 1 species
CACGGCGAAGUGGAACAACUGGAAUAGCAGAUGCUUUGAUUGUUAGGCACAUGUUUUCGAUCUGCAAAAAUGAGACUAAAAAUCGGUGAAACAAUGAAGCACUACUAUAUCUUAUGUUAUUUCCUCAACCUUUAAACUCAAGAUCUUUAGGGUGCUGUAAAACUAGAAUGUUUAAUAUCAAGAUCUGAAGCAUUAACUCUGCAAUAUGUUAAUUUGAAACUGAGAAUAACCUUAAAAUAUGAAAACUGAAUUCUAAUUUAGUGAAAACACUGUCAAUUUUCUCCAACAUCCUUUGAUAAUAUGUUACUUGAAACUACCAUUAUCUCAAUAGCUCCUUUUUCAAAUAACAAGGAAGAUCUAAAGCUUGGAAUUCACUUGAAGACCCGUGGAUUUCAGAAGGAAUUCACACUGUUAAAUCGUCCAAAGUAUUAC